rnacentral:rRNA from 1 species
UACAGAGGUCUCAAGCGUUGUUCGGAUUCAUUGGGCGUAAAGCGCGCGCAGGCGGCCCACCAAGUCCCGCGUGAAAUCGCCCGGCUCAACCGGGCGGGGUCGCGGGAGACUGGGGGGCUCGAGCGAGGGAGGGGGCAGUGGAAUUCCCGGUGUAGUGGUGGAAUGCGUAGAUAUCGGGAGGAACACCAGUGGCGAAGGCGGCUGCCUGGACCUCUGCUGACGCUGAGGCGCGAAAGCGUGGGGAGCAAACAGG